rnacentral:sRNA from 1 species
GGAACACAGUUUGCCCACGUCGUCGGUCGGUUCGUGCAACUCUCCUGCGUCCUCUCUGAUGGCGUCAUGAUAGUCAUGCGACUCAGUAUUACCGUCUGCUAUAUUAGAUAAAUCGUCUGCUUCUCUUUCACGAGUACAGUCGUCUGCUCGACUUUUGCAAGAAAAUAGCCCUAGCAUUUUGUGGACCCAAGGGGCAACUUUCCUGUUUUUUCGAUGAAAGAAUUGCGUUACCAAGGUAACUGCUAUCACUAUGCAAGUGCUGCAUCCGAGUUUAAAAACAAGAACGUAGCUAAGAAGAGGCAUGGGAUUUGACGUUUCAGGGAUUAUUUCCCCGAUAUAAACCAUGAACACUGUGAAAGACAACAGAACCGUAAUAGAAAACGAUAUUCUUUCUCCAGCUUGAAUUGGCUGAAAGAAAACUGUUAAAUUAAGGAAACCUAGCAGCAUCACCGGAAGUAUGAUAUUCACAAUUGCAAAUGUCGGCCGUCUGUGAAUGAUGACGGGGAACGCUACGGUAUUUAACUGUCGACUGGGAAGUUUCACAAUGCACGGGUUCAUUGUCUUAUAAAUCCACUUACCGUCGUCAUCUCGGUCAGCAAAAUUAUCCUUGAUGAUAGAGUCUUUCAUAAUGUACAUUGUUAAAGGUGAUGCAUAUUCGGGGAAGAGAAAACUUUCGAAAGGGAUGAACAACAAAACGCACUCGUGAGAAUCAAAGGGAAAGUACUUCACGUUGGGGUCACACGUGACGUCAAAAACGCCAGCUACUAAUAAAUUGGCGGUUCCAUCAUACGAAUACCGGACGACAAACUCCUCCUUCUUAUCUUUGAUAAUGACGAAUUUUGAGAAAGUGUUCAGCAAUGAAAUUUGUGGCUUCCACACUUCCGACGACAUGAAAGGCGUCAGGAAAGUGUUGUUGAAUUUUUUGGGAUCCCAAGACAAGCGUUUAUCUGACCAGUUCAUCCUCAGCAUUCCGUUACAUUCAAAGCGACCGCGUAUCUCGUCAAAAUCGUUCAGGUUUAGAAGUUCAAAAUAUAGGCCUACGUUGAUCUUUAUGGACGGAGGAAGAGUUUUCCUGUAAUUAGAUUUACCUUCCCUCUCGUUCAUAAGAUAGUCCUGUAAUUUCGCUGUCUCUCUCAGGAAAACAUCGUCUCCUGAAUAUUCCGACUUUGAAAUCUUUCCUGAAAACAGUAGCAGCACAGCAUGCAUUAGAUAAAACAUGAUGGCGAAUAAUUCAGAAAAGGUUAAUUCAAAGCUUUUCCCGAUGUAUCUGGAGAUUAUUUGGAUAAGAACUGGUGAGAAACAACACUGCUGGCGGGUUUGUUUCGAUAUAUCUCGAGAAAAAGGGAAAUUUAUAAACAGUUGGGUAUAUAGAAUCAAGGAAACAGACUGUUCGGUAUAUAUGUCAUCAACCAAGGGGCAGAUACACACAAAGUUGUAGGAAUUGGUGUGCGUACUUGUCUAAAUACGUUUGGAAAAUAAACACGUACCAUAUGUGUUUUCAGAAAGUAUUCAUAGUUUCGAUGUUAAAAUGUAAAAGACUGUUAUUACUCUUAUUGCAUAAUGUAUUUACAUUAUCAUGUAAAUAUAAAUAUAUAACUCGACACAUC